rnacentral:rRNA from 1 species
CAGUCGCCGCGGUAAUACGGAGGGUGCAAGCGUUAAUCGGAAUUACUGGGCGUAAAGCGCACGCAGGCGGUUUGUUAAGUCAGAUGUGAAAUCCCCGAGCUUAACUUGGGAACUGCACUUGAAACUGGCAAGCUAGAGUCUUGUAGAGGGGGGUAGAAUUCCAGGUGUAGCGGUGAAAUGCGUAGAGAUCGGGAGGAACAUCAGUGGCGAAGGCGGCCAUCUGGGACAACACUGACGCUGAGGCACGAAAGCGUGGGGAGCAAACAGGAUUAGAUACCCGCGUAGUCCCUGUCUCUAUACC